rnacentral:rRNA from 1 species
AGUAACGGCGAGUGAAGCGGCAACAGCUCAAAUUUGAAAUCUGGCUUCGGCCCGAAUUGUAAUUUGUAGAGGAUGCUUUUGGUGCGGUGCCUUCUGAGUUCCCUGGAACGGGACGCCACAGAGGGUGAGAGCCCCGUAUAGUUGGACACCAAGCCUCUGUAAAGCUCCUUCGACGAGUCGAGUUGUUUGGGA